GUUGCCGGGCCGGACUCUGACAUCUACACAUCUCAGAUCUCAGCUCUGUGACUGCAACAGUGACUGAUGAUUUUAUCUCGUAUGUUUUGUUCCAGCCUCGACCCUGAAAUGUUUCAGUUGUAAAAAUCCAACAGGAAACUGUACACAACUGGAAGGUUGCGAUCCAGCUCAGAAACUGAACUGCAGAACCAUCUUAGCCACAUGGAGAAUCAAUAAUCUGAUGCAGAAUGUCUCCAUUAAAGGCUGUGCUUCCAAAACUCUCUGCGAAACCCCAAGGUGUGCCGAAAAGUUAUGGUUUCCAACCAAAGCAAGAUUUCUGCUGCUGCAAAGCGAGAGGGCAUCAUCAUAGGAGUUCAGGCAGCAUAGCACAAGCUACGGAACCCUCCAGCACUGUGACUGCAAAUAACCACACUUCAACAGCACAGACAUUGUCUGUUCAAACCAUUGACACCUUGACAGUGAAUAACUCCAGCUCGACAGCAUAGACAUUAAUCUGUUCAAACCAUCAACACCCUGACAGUGAAUAACUAUAGCUCAGCUGUUCCCUCCUUCCUUGUCCUGCCAUUAAGUGCUCUGACACUGUCUGUUUUAACCAGGACCCUGAGAACAGUAAUCUGAGCUGCAGUAGAUUUGCAGUCUGCCCUGUCAGUGGUGAGGCAAUUUUAUUUCUUCGCCCAGUGAGUUGUUGUGACCUAGAAGGCGCUGCCUGAAAGGGCGGUGGGAGCAGAUUCAAUAGGAACUUUCAAAAAUGGAAUGGAUAAAUACUUGAAGGAGAGCAUUUUGCAGAGCUAUGGGGAGAAAGGGUGUGGAGUGCAUGAGACGAAUUGGAUAGCUCUUUAAAAGAGCUGACACAGGCACGAUGGGUUGCAUGGCCUCUUGUGUGCUGUAAGAUGCAUUGAUUUACUCGUGGGGAUUUGUAAGACAAUAUGCGGUGACUGGAUUCACUAAGUCCGAACUACAUCUUAUUUCUGGACCUCUGUCUUUUGGUUGAUUGGAUCCUUUGAAGAGAAUGCACUGUUCAGGCACUCUAAAUACUCAUCCAUAGAUGAACAUUCUGUCUUGUACUUAUCCCAACUCAUCCUUCCUUUCCUCUGACACUUUUUCUACAGAAAUACCUUUGACUUUGCAGUGACUCAGUCUUGCCUCUGAGUCAGGUGGUUGUGCAUUUGUGUUCCACUCCAGGGACAUGAGCACAGUACUCACAGUGCAGUACUGAAGGAGGAAAAGUGCUGAAGGAGCGCUGCACUGUCGGAGGGUCAGUACUGAGGGACUGCUGCACUGUCGGAGGGUCAGUACUGAGGGAGUGCUGCACUGUCGGAGGGUCAAAACUGAGGGACUGCUGCACUGUCGGAGGGUCAGUACUGAGGGAGUGCUGCAUUGUCGGAGGGUCAAUACUGAGGGAGUGCUGCAGUGUCAGAGAAUCAGUAUUGAGGGAGCGUUGCGCAGUUGAAGGGUCAGUAUUGAGGGAGUGCUGCACGGUCAGAGGGCACUGAGGGAACACUGAAGUGUCAGAGAGCAAUAUUGAAUGAACACUGCGCUGUUGGAGAGUCAACAGACCAUUUGCUGCACUGUCAGGGGUUCUAUCUUUCAGAUGAGGCAUUAAACAGAGGACCCUGUCCAUUCUCUCUUAGCCUCGAUUUUAAAGUUGAGUUGGGGCAUUCUUCCCAGUGUCUUGACCAAUAUCUAGCGCUGAACAAACAUUUCAAAAGCUGGUUUUCUGGUCCUUAUCUUGUUUCUGUUCUGGGACCUCGUUGUCACUGAUAUUAAUACAAUGACUAAGAACGACAAAGUUUGAAGUCAUAAAAGCUGAAGAUUGUUAUUUGGGGUUACUUCAGCUCCCAAUGUGUAAAUGUGAUGCAUUACUCAAUGAUAAGCGCAUUCAGAGUGGCAGUAGGUAAACUUAGCUGUACCCUGUACUUAAAUACUCUGCUAUAAACUGUCAGUGUUCAACCCUA